AAUCCUCUGACGUUAGCGGCGGACGGGUGAGUAACACGUGGAUAACCUACCUAUAAGACUGGGAUAACUUCGGGAAACCGGAGCUAAUACCGGAUAAUAUAUUGAACCGCAUGGUUCAAUAGUGAAAGACGGUUUUGCUGUCACUUAUAGAUGGAUCCGCGCCGCAUUAGCUAGUUGGUAAGGUAACGGCUUACCAAGGCAACGAUGCGUAGCCGACCUGAGAGGGUGAUCGGCCACACUGGAACUGAGACACGGUCCAGACUCCUACGGGAGGCAGCAGUAGGGAAUCUUCCGCAAUGGGCGAAAGCCUGACGGAGCAACGCCGCGUGAGUGAUGAAGGUCUUCGGAUCGUAAAACUCUGUUAUUAGGGAAGAACAAAUGUGUAAGUAACUAUGCACGUCUUGACGGUACCUAAUCAGAAAGCCACGGCUAACUACGUGCCAGCAGCCGCGGUAAUACGUAGGUGGCAAGCGUUAUCCGGAAUUAUUGGGCGUAAAGCGCGCGUAGGCGGUUUUUUAAGUCUGAUGUGAAACCCCACGGCUCAACCGUGGAGGGUCAUUGGAAACUGGAAAACUUGAGUGCAGAAGAGGAAAGUGGAAUUUCCAUGUGUAGCGGUGAAAUGCGCAGAGAUAUGGAGGAACACCAGUGGCGAAGGCGACUUUCUGGUCUGUAACUGACGCUGAUGUGCGAAAGCGUGGGGAUCAAACAGGAUUAGAUACCCUGGUAGUCCACGCCGUAAACGAUGAGUGCUAAGUGUUAGGGGGUUUCCGCCCCUUAGUGCUGCAGCUAACGCAUUAAGCACUCCGCCUGGGGAGUACGACCGCAAGGUUGAAACUCAAAGGAAUUGACGGGGACCCGCACAAGCGGUGGAGCAUGUGGUUUAAUUCGAAGCAACGCGAAGAACCUUACCAAAUCUUGACAUCCUCUGACCCCUCUAGAGAUAGAGUUUUCCCCUUCGGGGGACAGAGUGACAGGUGGUGCAUGGUUGUCGUCAGCUCGUGUCGUGAGAUGUUGGGUUAAGUCCCGCAACGAGCGCAACCCUUAAGCUUAGUUGCCAUCAUUAAGUUGGGCACUCUAAGUUGACUGCCGGUGACAAACCGGAGGAAGGUGGGGAUGACGUCAAAUCAUCAUGCCCCUUAUGAUUUGGGCUACACACGUGCUACAAUGGACAAUACAAAGGGCAGCGAAACCGCGAGGUCAAGCAAAUCCCAUAAAGUUGUUCUCAGUUCGGAUUGUAGUCUGCAACUCGACUAUAUGAAGCUGGAAUCGCUAGUAAUCGUAGAUCAGCAUGCUACGGUGAAUACGUUCCCGGGUCUUGUACACACCGCCCGUCACACC
rnacentral:rRNA from 1 species